CCUACGGGUGGCAGCAGUCGAGAAUCAUUCACAAUGGGGGAAACCCUGAUGGUGCGACGCCGCGUGGGGGAAUGAAGGUCUUCGGAUUGUAAACCCCUGUCAUGUGGGAGCAAAUUAAAAAGAUAGUACCACAAGAGGAAGAGACGGCUAACUCUGUGCCAGCAGCCGCGGUAAUACAGAGGGAUGAAGCGUUGUUCGGAAUCACUGGGGGUAAAGGGUGCGUAGGCUGUUUCGUAAGUCGGGUGUGAAAGGCGGGGGCUCAACCCGCGGACGGCACAUGAUACUGGGAGACUAGAGUAAUGGAGAGGGAAGCGGAAUUCUCGGUGUAGCAGUGAAAUGCGUAGAUAUCGAGAGGAACACUCGUGGCGAAGGCAUCUCACGGAUCCGCGAUUGACGCUGAUGCACGAAAGCGUGGGUAUCAAACAGGAUUAGAUACCCUUGUAGUC
rnacentral:rRNA from 1 species